CCUACGGGGGGCUGCAGUGGGGAAUUUUGGACAAUGGGGGCAACCCUGAUCCAGCCAUGCCGCGUGCGGGAAGAAGGCCUUCGGGUUGUAAACCGCUUUUGUCGGGGAAGAAAUCCUCUGGGCUAAUACCUCGGGGGCAUGACGGUACCCGGAGAAUAAGCACCGGCUAACUACGUGCCAGCAGCCGCGGUAAUACGUAGGGUGCAAGCGUUAAUCGGAGUUACUGGGGGUAAACUUUCAACAGGCAGGUGAAAGCCCCGGGCGCAACCUGGGAACGGCAUUGGUGACUGCAAGGCUGGAGUGCGGCAGAGGGGGAUGGAAUUCCGCGUGUAGCAGUGAAAUGCGUAGAGAUGCGGAGGAACACCGAUGGCGAAGGCAAUCCCCUGGGCCUGCACUGACGCUCAUGCACGAAAGCGUGGGGAGCAAACAGGAUUAGAUACCCGGGUAGUC
rnacentral:rRNA from 1 species